GCCGGUAUAGCUCAGUUGGUAGAGCACCUGACUUGUAAUCAGGGGGUCUCGAGUUCGACUCUUGGUGCCGGCACCA
rnacentral:tRNA from 1 species